rnacentral:rRNA from 1 species
CCUACGGGUGGCAGCAGUGGGGAAUAUUGGACAAUGGGCGAAAGCCUGAUCCAGCCAUGCCGCGUGUGUGAAGAAGGCCUUCGGGUUGUAAAGCACUUUCAGUGGGGAAGAAAGCCUUGGGGCUAAUACCCUCGAGGAAGGACAUCACCCACAGAAGAAGCACCGGCUAACUCCGUGCCAGCAGCCGCGGUAAUACGGAGGGUGCGAGCGUUAAUCGGAAUUACUGGGCGUAAAGCGCGCGUAGGCGGUCUGAUAAGCCGGUUGUGAAAGCCCCGGGCUCAACCUGGGAACGGCAUCCGGAACUGUCAGGCUAGAGUGCAGGAGAGGAAGGUAGAAUUCCCGGUGUAGCGGUGAAAUGUGUAGAGAUCGGGAGGAAUACCAGUGGCGAAGGCGGCCUUCUGGACUGACACUGACGCUGAGGUGCGAAAGCGUGUGUAGCAAACAGGAUUAGAUACCCGGGUAGUC